GGGCAAUUAGCUCAGCUGGUUAGAGCACUACCUCGACAAGGUAGGGGUCACAAGUUCGAAUCUUGUAUUGCCCACCA
rnacentral:tRNA from 1 species